UGAUGGAGCACGCCGCAGUGCAGGAUGAAGGCCUUCGGGUUGUAAACUGCUUUUAUUUGUGAAGAAUAUGACGGUAACAAAUGAAUAAGGGUCGGCUAACUACGUGCCAGCAGCCGCGGUCAUACGUAGGACCCAAGCGUUAUCCGGAGUGACUGGGCGUAAAGAGUUGCGU
rnacentral:rRNA from 1 species